rnacentral:rRNA from 1 species
AAUGGGCGCAAGCCUGAUCCAGCCAUGCCGCGUGAAUGAAGAAGGCCUUAGGGUUGUAAAGUUCUUUCAAUGGUGGAGAUAAUGACGGUAACCAUACAAGAAGCCCCGGCUAAUUUCGUGCCAGCAGCCGCGGUAAUACGAAAGGGGCUAGCGUUGUUCGGAAUUACUGGGCGUAAAGCGCACGUAGGCGGCCUUGUAAGUUGGGGGUGAAAUCCCGGGGCUCAACUCCGGAACUGCCUCCAAAACUGCAAAGCUUGAGGAUGUGAGAGGAUAGUGGAAUUCCGAGUGUAGAGGUGAAAUUCGUAGAUAUUCGGAAGAACACCGGUGGCGAAGGCGACUGUCUGGCACAUUUCUGACGCUGAGGUGCGAAAGCGUGGGGAGCGAACAGGAUU